GAUGAACGCUGGCGGCGUGCCUAAUACAUGCAAGUCGAGCGAACGGAUGAGGAGCUUGCUUCUCUGAUGUUAGCGGCGGACGGGUGAGUAACACGUGGAUAACCUACCUAUAAGACUGGGAUAACUUCGGGAAACCGGAGCUAAUACCGGAUAAUAUUUUGAACCGCAUGGUUCAAUAGUGAAAGACGGUUUUGCUGUCACUUAUAGAUGGAUCCGCGCUGCAUUAGCUAGUUGGUAAGGUAACGGCUUACCAAGGCAACGAUGCAUAGCCGACCUGAGAGGGUGAUCGGCCACACUGGAACUGAGACACGGUCCAGACUCCUACGGGAGGCAGCAGUAGGGAAUCUUCCGCAAUGGGCGAAAGCCUGACGGAGCAACGCCGCGUGAGUGAUGAAGGUCUUCGGAUCGUAAAACUCUGUUAUUAGGGAAGAACAUAUGUGUAAGUAACUGUGCACAUCUUGACGGUACCUAAUCAGAAAGCCACGGCUAACUACGUG
rnacentral:rRNA from 1 species